GAACGAACGCUGGCGGCAUGCCUAACACAUGCAAGUCGAACGAAGGCUUCGGCCUUAGUGGCGCACGGGUGCGUAACGCGUGGGAAUCUGCCCUUGGGUUCGGAAUAACAGUGAGAAAUUACUGCUAAUACCGGAUGAUGACUUCGGUCCAAAGAUUUAUCGCCCAAGGAUGAGCCCGCGUAAGAUUAGCUAGUUGGUGAGGUAAAGGCUCACCAAGGCGACGAUCUUUAGCUGGUCUGAGAGGAUAAUCAGCCACACUGGGACUGAGACACGGCCCAGACUCCUACGGGAGGCAGCAGUGGGGAAUAUUGGACAAUGGGCGAAAGCCUGAUCCAGCAAUGCCGCGUGAGUGAUGAAGGCCUUAGGGUUGUAAAGCUCUUUUACCAGGGAUGAUAAUGACAGUACCUGGAGAAUAAGCUCCGGCUAACUCCGUG
rnacentral:rRNA from 1 species